rnacentral:tmRNA from 1 species
GGGGGCGUCACGGUUUCGACGGGGAUGCGUGAAGCUGCAUAAGCGUACCGAGGUUCCUGCAGGCCUCGUUAAACAGGCAGGAAAACAUAAUCGCAGACAACUACGAUUACGCUUUAGCCGCUUAGUCGGCUAACGUCUCCCCGGUUUCGCCUGUCGGGCCGGUUUGGGGGCGUCAUUCAGGCAGGAUAACCGAUCUCCCACGCCUGGGGGGGGA